rnacentral:tRNA from 1 species
GGGGUUGUAGCUCAGUUGGUAAAGUGUUUGCCUUGCAUGUAUGAGGCACUGAGUUUGAUCCUCAGCACCACA